CGCGGGAUUGGGGGACGGGGUGCAGCAGGCGCGAAAACUUUACAAUGCCGGCAACGGCGAUAAGGGGACCUCGAGUGCCAGGUUACAAAUCUGGCUGUCGCGAUGCCUAAAAAGCAUUGCAUAGCAAGGGCCGGGCAAGACCGGUGCCAGCCGCCGCGGUAACACCGGCGGCUCGAGUGGUAACCGUUAUUAUUGGGUCUAAAGGGUCUGUAGCCGGCCGGAUAAGUCUCUUGGGAAAUCCAGCAGCUUAACUGUUGGGCUUUCAGGAGAUACUGUUCGGCUCGAGGCCGGGAGAGGUGAGAGGUACUUCAGGGGUAGGGGUGAAAUCUUGUAAUCCUUGAAGGACCACCAGUGGCGAAGGCGUCUCACCAGAACGGACCUGACGGCAAGGGACGAAAGCUAGGGGCACGAACCGGAUUAGAUACCCGGGUAGUCCUAGCCGUAAACGAUACUCGCUAGGUGUCGGCCACGGUGCGACCGUUGUCGGUGCCGUAGGGAAGCCGUGAAGCGAGCCACCUGGGAAGUACGGCCGCAAGGCUGAAACUUAAAGGAAUUGGCGGGGGAGCACCACAACGGGUGGAGCUUGCGGUUUAAUUGGAUUCAACGCCGGAAAUCUUACCGGGACCGACAGCGAUAUGAAGGCCAGGCUGAAGACUUUGCCGGAUUAGCUGAGAGGUGGUGCAUGGCCGUCGUCAGUUCGUACUGUGAAGCAUCCUGUUAAGUCAGGCAACGAGCGAGACCCACGCCCACAGUUGCCAGCGUACUCUCCGGAGUGACGGGUACACUGUGGGGACCGCCGCUGCUAAAGCGGAGGAAGGAAUGGGCAACGGUAGGUCAGUAUGCCCCGAAUAUCCCGGGCUACACGCGAGCUACAGUGGUUGGAACAAUGGGUAUCUACCCCGAAAGGGGAUGGAAAUCUCCUAAAUCCAAUCUUAGUUCGGAUUGAGGGCUGCAACUCGCCCUCAUGAAGCUGGAAUCCGUAGUAAUCGCGUUUCAACAGAACGCGGUGAAUACGUCCCUGCUCCUUGCACAAAUUCAAUCACUAGU
rnacentral:rRNA from 1 species